rnacentral:rRNA from 1 species
GACGAACGCUGGCGGCGUGCCUAAUACAUGCAAGUCGAACGCACGAAGUUGAAGAGCUUGCUCUUUAACCAAGUGAGUGGCGGACGGGUGAGUAACACGUGGGUAACCUGCCCAUUAGAGGGGGAUAACAUUCGGAAACGGAUGCUAAUACCGCAUAGUUUCAGGAAUCGCAUGAUUCUUGAAGGAAAGGUGGCUUCGGCUACCACUAAUGGAUGGACCCGCGGCGUAUUAGCUAGUUGGUGAGGUAAUGGCUCACCAAGGCAAUGAUACGUAGCCGACCUGAGAGGGUGAUCGGCCACACUGGGACUGAGACACGGCCCAGACUCCUACGGGAGGCAGCAGUAGGGAAUCUUCCGCAAUGGACGAAAGUCUGACGGAGCAACGCCGCGUGAGUGAAGAAGGUUUUCGGAUCGUAAAACUCUGUUGUUAAAGAAGAACAAGGAUGAGAGUAACUGCUCAUCCCCUGACGGUAUUUAACCAGAAAGCCACGGCUAACUACGUGCCAGCAGCCGCGGUAAUACGUAGGUGGCAAGCGUUGUCCGGAUUUAUUGGGCGUAAAGCGAGCGCAGGCGGUUCUUUAAGUCUGAUGUGAAAGCCCCCGGCUCAACCGGGGAGGGUCAUUGGAAACUGGAGAACUUUGAGUGCAGAAGAGGAGAGUGGAAUUCCACGUGUAGCGGUGAAAUGCGUAGAUAUGUGGAGGAACACCAGUGGCGAAAGCGACUCUCUGGUCUGUAACUGACGCUGAGGCUCGAAAGCGUGGGGUAGCAGACAGG